rnacentral:RNase_P_RNA from 1 species
GUGAUGGGUCGCCCCACCGCGGCGCCCAACGCAAGACGGGCGACGAGGAAAGUCCGGGCAACGCAGAGCACCCUGCUUCCUAACGGGAAGGACUGGCCAGUAUAAUGCGAACCAGGACAGCCAGUGCCACAGAAAACUACCGCCGGAAGGUGGAGUGGCGGAAUGGUGGAUUGUUGUUCAGACAACUCACCACCCCACCAAUCCGCCAUCAGGUAAGGGUGAAAAGGUGCGGUAAGAGCGCACCAGCGGGCGGGUGACCGUCCCGGCUGGGUAAACCUCAGGGGUUGAAAGACCAAAUAAGCUGGCACGCCGGCGCGGCUUCGGCCGCUUCGGCACCGGGCGGCUCGUCCGGCGCCAGCGGGUAGGUUGAUGGAGCCUUUCCGCGAGGACUGGCCUAGAUAAAUGGUGGGGACGCGGCUUCGGCCGCGCACAAAACCCGGCUUACAGACCCAUCACCUCA